AUGGGCCUCAAAUCUAUACUAAUUAAAGGGUCAUAUGCUAAAUAGGGCAGGCAUCUUCCGGACGUCCAUUCAGACAAAGUUAUAGCAGCUGCGAGGCCUGGGGCUCAGG